rnacentral:rRNA from 1 species
UGAGGAAUAUUGGUCAAUGGACGCAAGUCUGAACCAGCCAUGCCGCGUGCAGGAAGACGGCUCUAUGAGUUGUAAACUGCUUUUGUACGAGGGUAAAUCCCGAUACGUGUAUCGGGUUGAAAGUAUCGUACGAAUAAGGAUCGGCUAACUCCGUGCCAGCAGCCGCGGUAAUACGGAGGAUUCAAGCGUUAUCCGGAUUUAUUGGGUUUAAAGGGUGCGUAGGCGGUUCGAUAAGUUAGAGGUGAAAUCCCGGGGCUCAACUCCGGCACUGCCUCUGAUACUGUCGGGCUAGAGUUUAGUUGC